UCCUGGUUAACCCAGGCAGUCUCAUUAGAGUUCCCACCUUAUAUGUUGGCAACUAAUGAUAAGGGUUGCGCUCGUUGCGGGACUUAACCCAACACCUCACGGCACGAGCUGACGACAGCCAUGCAGCACCUGUGCACCAGCCCCGAAGGGAAAUAACAUCUCUGCUAUCGUCUAGUGCAUGUCAAGCCUGGGUAAGGUUCUUCGCGUUGCAUCGAAUUAAACCACAUGCUCCACUGCUUGUGCGGGUCCCCGUCAAUUCUUUUGAGUUUCAGCCUUGCGACUGUACUCCCCAGGCGGUAUACUUAUCGCGUUAGCUACGGCACAACCAGGGUUGAUUCCGGUUACACCAAGUAUACAUCGUUUACGGCAAGGACUAC
rnacentral:misc_RNA from 1 species